CGUCUAUAUACGUAUAGCAUAUCAAUAAGCGGAGGAAAAGGCAUAAGAUCAUGUAUACCUACGCUUAGGAUGUUGAAGUCAUCGUAUCGCGCGUGCUUGAUCUAUAAUGACGUAUGAGCAUAUCAAUAAGCGGAGGAAAAGAAACUAACUAGGAUUCCCUCAGUAACGGCGAGUGAAGCGGGAAGAGCUCAAAUUUGAAAUCUUCAAGGUUCUACCUUGACGAAUUGUAAUUUAAAGAAGUGUUUUCUGUUGGAGUUUUGGUAAAAGUUCUUUGGAAAUAGGACAUCAUAGGAGGGUGAGAAUCCCGUAUUUGACCAUUAUUUCCAAGCUUUGUGAUACACUUUCAAAGAGUCGGAUUGUUUGGGAAUGCAGUCCAAAAUGGGUGGUAAAUUUCAUCUAAAGCUAAAUACUGGCGAGAGACCGAUAGCGAACAAAUACCGUGAGGGAAAGAUGAAAAGAACUUUGAAAAGAGAGUUAAACAGUACGUGAAAUUGUCAAAAGGGAAGCGUUUGACACCAGUGUUGCUUUCUCGAAAAUCAAUUAAAAAAGGCUGGAUUUUGUGUUGUAUUGACUUUAUCAGCUUUCUGCACUCUUUUCUUGUCUUUUUUAAUGCACUUUUCGUUUAACAAGUCAACAUCAAUUUCUUUUGUUGUAAAAGAGGUCAUUGGAAGGUGGCUUUCACUUUCGGAGAAAGUGUUUAUAGCCUUUGGCCUCUGCAAUCGGAGAGAUUGAGGUCUGCAGCGUAGAUCCUUCGGGGUUAGAUACAUUUGUGCUAAGUUAUAGCCUUUCAUAGACAACUUGUUGACUAUGAUCAGUCAUGUAGCUUACUCGCUUAUGCUAUUUUACCUACGCUUAGGAUGUUGAAGUCAUCGUAUCGCG
rnacentral:rRNA from 1 species